CCCUAAACUUGUGCUUGAAUGAUAAGCCGCGGCAUCUUGAUCCUUCCAUGAACUCAAAGUUGCAUCAGUCACAAAAUGAACAUGUUUCAGAGAAAUUUCCGCACUCUCAUUGUCAUAAUCAAGAUCUUCUAACCAGAUAUCUUCCUCUUCAUCAUCAUCGAUAAGUUGACGUUCAUCGCUAUAUUUAAAAUAACUGCUUGAUAAAAUCUGAUCUGCGGCCAUCGCGCAACUUGAACUUCCUUCGCUGCAAGGGAAUGAAUUGCGCAAGAUUGCUUUUUGAAUUUUGACAUUUUUACCUUUUUAAUUAAGGAAAUUUAAUGAAC
rnacentral:lncRNA from 1 species